UACGGGGGGGGUAAGCGGUUGUUCGGAAUUACUGGGCGUAAAGGGCUCGUAGGCGGCCAACUAAGUCAGACGUGAAAUCCCUCAGCUUAACUGGGGAACUGCGUCUGAUACUGGAUGGCUUGGAUUCGGGAGAGGAAUGCGGAAUUCCAGGUGUAGCGGUGAAAUGACGUAGAUAUCUGGAGGAACACCGGUGGCGAAGGCGGCAUUCUGGACCGAUAUUGACGCUGAGGAGCGAAAGCCAGGGGAGCAAACGGG
rnacentral:rRNA from 1 species